UACGUAGGGUCCGAGCGUUGUCCGGAUUUAUUGGGCGUAAAGAGCUCGUAGGCGGUUCCGUAAGUCAGAUGUGAAAACUCAGGGCUCAACCCGGAGACGCCAUCUGAUACUGCGGUGACUGGAGUCUGGUAGGGGAACACGGAAUUCCUGGUGUAGCGGUGAAAUGCGCAGAUAUCAGGAGGAACACCGAUGGCGAAGGCAGUGUUCUGGGCCAGUACUGACGCUGAGGAGCGAAAGCGUGGGGAGCAAACAGG
rnacentral:rRNA from 2 species